GAACAGCUAUUUCCAGAGACCGAAGAGGAGAUUAAUCGGGUCCAAAUGAGUGUUUGCUUAGGUUCACGGUACAAAAGAAGGGUCAAACCAUAAGAGGGGCCUUUCUACUGUGUUUGUUUUAGGUUCAUGGUACAAAAGAAGGGUCAAACCAUAAGAGGGGCCUUUCUACUGUGUUUGUUUUAGGUUCAUGGUAGAAAAGAAGGGUCAAACCAUAAGAGGGGCUUUUCUACUGUGUUUGUUUUAGGUUCAUGGUACAAAAGAAGGGUCAAACCAUAAGAGGGGCUGUUCUACUGUGUUUGUUUUAGGUUCAUGGUACAAAAGAAGGGUCAAACCAUAAGAGGGGCUUUUCUACUGUGUUUGUUUUAGGUUCAUGGUAGAAAAGAAGGGUCAAAACAUAAGAGGGGCUUUUCUACUGUGUUUGUUUUAGGUUCAUGGUAGAAAAGUAGGGUCAUUUUAUAAUAAGUGCUAUAAAAUCGGGUUCUAAUGUGUUUGUUUUAGGUUCAUGGUAGAAAAGAAGGGUCAAACUAUAACUACCCCUGGUUCUAAUGUCUUUGUUUUAGGUUCAUGGUAGAAAAGAAGGGUCAAACUAUAACUACCCCUGGUUCUAAUGUCUUUGUUUUAGGUUCAUGGUGCCGAGGAAGAGUCAAACUAUAACUACCCCUGGUUCUAAUGUCUUUGUUUUAGGUUCAUGGUGCAGAGGAAGGGUCAAACUAUAACUACCCCUGGUUCUAAUGUCUUUGUUUUAGGUUCAUGGUGCAGAGGAAGAGUCAACUAUACGAGAAG